AGGGUGUAAACGCUGCGGGCUUGGUGUUGGGGGUCCUUAGUGGGCGCCCAGUGCCGGAGAAAAGUUGUUAAGCCUGCUGCUUGGGGAGUAUGUCCGCAAGGAUGAAACUUAAAGGAAUUGGCGGGGGAGCACCGCAACGGGAGGAGCGUGCGGUUCAAUUGGAUUCAACGCCGAAAAACUCACCAGGAGCGACUGUUACAUGAAAGCCGAGAUGAAGACUCUGCUAGAUUUUCAGAGAGGUGGUGCAUGGCGUCAGUGACU
rnacentral:rRNA from 1 species